GUGGAUUAGAUACCCUGGUAGUCCACGCCGUAAACGGUGGGAACUAGAUGUGGGGUCCGUUCCACGGAUUCCGUGUCGCAGCUAACGCAUUAAGUUCCCCGCCUGGGGAGUACGGCCGCAAGGCUAAAACUCAAAGGAAUUGACGGGGGCCCGCACAAGCGGCGGAGCAUGCGGAUUAAUUCGAUGCAACGCGAAGAACCUUACCAAGGCUUGACAUAUAGAGGAAAAGUGCAGAAAUGCACUCCCCGCAAGGUCUCUAUACAGGUGGUGCACGGUCGUCGUCAACU
rnacentral:rRNA from 1 species